rnacentral:rRNA from 1 species
GAUGAACGCUGGCGGCGUGCCUAAUACAUGCAAGUCGAGCGAACAGACGAGGAGCUUGCUCCUCUGACGUUAGCGGCGGACGGGUGAGUAACACGUGGAUAACCUACCUAUAAGACUGGGAUAACUUCGGGAAACCGGAGCUAAUACCGGAUAAUAUAUUGAACCGCAUGGUUCAAUAGUGAAAGACGGUUUUGCUGUCACUUAUAGAUGGAUCCGCGCCGCAUUAGCUAGUUGGUAAGGUAACGGCUUACCAAGGCAACGAUGCGUAGCCGACCUGAGAGGGUGAUCGGCCACACUGGAACUGAGACACGGUCCAGACUCCUACGGGAGGCAGCAGUAGGGAAUCUUCCGCAAUGGGCGAAAGCCUGACGGAGCAACGCCGCGUGAGUGAUGAAGGUCUUCGGAUCGUAAAACUCUGUUAUUAGAGAAGAACAAAUGUGUAAGUAACUAUGCACGUCUUGACGGUACCUAAUCAGAAAGCCACGGCUAACUACGUG